UGGACCCAUGAAAAAUGGGUCAAUCCAUUGAAAUUAUUGGUUGAGUUGAAUUGAGUCAUGGGUUACAUAGAAAACUUGUUUUUCAAAGGGGUUUAUCCUGUGCAUUUUUCUUUUUGUUGGUGAUUUGUUUUUUCCUCUUUUUAUUUAUUUAUUUGUCUAAACAUGUUUCAUCUGUGUUUUUUAAGUCCAAGUCGAAGGGAGCAAGGUAGAGGAAGAGUUCCCCACCCCACCCCAGCAGCUUCUGGUCCUGGCGACUGGCGUAACGUAACUACUAAAACGGAAAACAUAGGAAUAAUAGAAAACACAUAGCGAAUAUCAAUCAGAGUGGUGCAACUUUGUUUUGAGAAUUGAGACUCACAAUCACAAAGAAAGCAGUGUGAAUUUUAAUUUAGAAGAUUCUCAAUGGGAGAUAGUAAGACCUCUAAAUCUCGUACUCAUACUCAUACUCAUUCAUCAACAUCCCCUUGUGCCCAUCUCAGAGCUGCCUACCACAAUUGCUUCAACAGAUGGUAUUCAGAGAAGUUCGUGAAGGGUGAAUGGAAGAAAGAGGAAUGUGUUUCUGAGUGGCAAAAAUACAGAGCUUGCCUGGCUGAACAUUUGGAUGAUAAGCAUCUGAGUCGAUUCUUGGAAGCUGAUACCCUUGUCAAUCUUAACGAAUCCACUUAACGGACCACCUCACUAAUAUAAUAAAGCCAGAUAGCGAACAUGAAAAUUUGAUUCCCAGGAGGUUGUCCUGGAGCAUGGUAACCAGCAGCUUUGCAGUUAGAAGUGAGCCAGUCUUGAGGUUGGCAGAGCAGGAGGUAUUUGUAUGAUAUAUUCCCAGUUGGUGCCAGGUUGUUCUAACAAUACAGCAAUCAUGAAGGGCAUGCAUGAUGGAUUCAGACCAGCAUUGGCAGAGGGGGCAGGAGGUAUCAAUCAGCAUUCCCCUAGCUGCUAGGCAAUCUUUAACUCCUAUAAUCUGGUGCAUACAUUUCCAGAUAAAAGUUUGGAUCCUGUGCAAGGUGUCUCACUUCCAAAUCCAUUUGCCCUGAAAAGGAGAAUCAGGCAGCGGCUCUAUGGCUAGGAGAUAGGCACUUUUCAGAGAAAUUAAAGUGCUUAUGCUUAUUUGUGGAGAUGAAAGAAGAGAUGUAACAUGGGGCUUGUCAAGGGUGGAUUGACAGCAAAUCAAAGUAAGGACCUUUGGUUCCUGCUAAUCUGCUAUAGACAAAGAACACUCAUUUGCUAAUCUAAGCUCUUCAGUGUCUGUAGUUUGUUACGUGGAAUUCUUUUUUGCACCUCUUUGAUCAUUAACUAACUAGUUAUAAUUUUUGCUACCCUUCUUUCCGUA